rnacentral:rRNA from 1 species
UACGUAGGGUGCAAGCGUUUGUCCGGAAUUAUUGGGCGUAAAGAGCUCGUAGGCGGUCUGUCGCGUCUGCUGUGAAAACUCGGGGCUUAACCCCGGGCCUGCAGUGGGUACGGGCAGACUAGAGUGCGGUAGGGGAGACUGGAAUUCCUGGUGUAGCGGUGAAAUGCGCAGAUAUCGGGAAGAACACCCGUGGCGAAGGCGGCUCUCUGGAACGCAACUGACGCUGAGACGCGAAAGCGUGGGGAGCAAACAGGG